rnacentral:lncRNA from 1 species
ACAGAAAUUCGGCUGUUCCAAAGCAGCUGAGCUGGGUGGGCAGUCUCUUGUGGCUUGUUUUGGGGGAAUGUUGUGAAAUUUCCGAUUUGGCCUCCAGGCAGGGUCUCCGAGGAGCUUGCAAUGGACUCAUUUGCAAUGGUCAUUAUCUUAUGCGGAUGUUGCUGAUUACACUGACCUAAAGUCUGUUUUCUUUGACAUGUCAAAGUUGAAGAUGGAGAAAGUGCAGUGAGACUGCAAUACGUGACUUUGAGAAAGAAUGAAUAGCAAGUUCUUGUAAAAGGAGGAAAAGAGGCAUUUUGGCAGAGUGCCUUUCAAGGCCGUAAUGGGGGAAAUCUGAUUUCUCUGUUUUUAAAUGCGCUCUUUGCAGCAAUGCUCACAGGCUGCGGUGGUCGUGUGGAAACGUUUCAGUUUGUGAUGAAACGGGGCCUGAAUGUGCUACAGGUUCUGUAGCUUUACUUCUCCUUGUUGAGGAGGCAUUGCCAGGCUGUAGCACAAACCUGACCAGGCCUUUGGGGACUCUCUGGCGUAAGGAGCUUUUUUCUUGAGGAAGGAAAGGGUGCAUGGCUUCAUCCCAGGGAGUUUUUCCAUCUGUUUGUUAUGGUGUGCACGAGCAGAAGAUACACUUAGGGAAGGAGCUGGAAAUACUUCAGCAUCAUCCAGAGACAAAAGCGGUUAAUCCCAGAUGUCUUUUCUCCGUGAACAGCAGCAGGAUAAAGGAUGACUUUUUACAUCAGCUCUUUGAAAGACAGUUUUAUCACCCUGCACUGCAGCAUUUCCGAGCUCAGUAUGAAAACAGCGUAGACUUAGCAAGACUGCAUUUCUGAUGUAUUAUUGUGCUGCAAGUUCCUGGUCUUUGCAGCUGACUCAAAAGCCAGGGAAGAGGGAGCAAUAUCCUCUCCUCCUGCAGCUGACAAUCCUCAAACGUACACCACAACCAUUUUAACCGAGUUGAACGCCUCCAGGGGAGACAGUGAUGCUUUGUCACACGCAGAAAUGGAGACAUGACAAAUGAGGUACCGUUUCAUUGCUUUAAUUGCUGAGUGGACAGCUCAGGCCAGGGGUAUAGAAAUAUUGCCUAACUCCAGCUUUGCUGAUCUCAGGAUAUCCAACCCCAUCUUUCCCUCCUGCCUUCCCUCCUUGCUUUAGAGUGGUAAAAGCAAGUAUGGUCUGAGGGCUGGACCCCCAAGAGCCGUAAGGCAGCAGGCACAUAUGCAGAGAAGUGAGUAUCUUACCCCUCUUCCGCUUUUUUGGUGGGUUAGGAAAGAGUUAAAUGACAACAGAGGGAGAGGCUGUGCUAUUGUUCAGGCAUCCCUGGGUCCAGGGUGGCUGAUCUCUAUUCCCGGAUCUGCCUCUGGCUUCCUGCACGACCUUGGACCGGUCACUUACCUUUUCUUUUCCUCAGCUCCCAAAUUAUAACAUGGAAAUCAUUCUCUUCCUGUGGUGCCUCGUUCCCUGUGGGUUUUAGGGUGGCUGAGAUGAUGGGAGGAGGAGAAGGCAUUUCCACUGGAGAAACAUUUACACAGAGAGUAGCAUUUUUGGGCAUGUUCUUGUUCCCUCAGAUACAACACGGGCUGUGCAUAUGGUGAGAUUUGGGGUUUUUUUUAGUAGGCAAACCUGUGGUGAAAGUCAAAUUCCAUUUGUCGUUGGUGCAGCUGCCCCAGAGCGAUGCCAGCUGCAGUGAUGCUUUUCUUCACUAGAUGGUGCUUUUGAUCAAAGAUUUGAAUAACGGCAGUUCUCUUUCUGCACAGAAUUUCCGAAUUUUUCUUCCCUGGUCUCCAUUCUUUCCCCUCUUCUUUCUGUGCUUUAACACCACGGGGGACAGUUAAUGAUGCUGGAUAUUGAGCAAGGCUAAUCUGGUGGUAACACAGGCUCCAAGCCACCCGCGCCCACCAGCCAGCUUGUCUGCUGGGCUUUGGUUUUUGAAGCGUGUAUCAGUGCUGCUGGGCUGUGGCAGAGAAUUGAAUUCUUUCCGUGUUUUCUAUUCCCAUAAGGAAAAGGCUUCAAAGAGCAGGUCCCCUCCCCCUCUCUGCUGGUGAAGGGCAUUUAGGGAAGCUAGGAAAAAAAAAAAAUCCAGCUCUGACAGAGGCAUUUAUUUAACAAACCACUGCCUUUCCCUACCUUAGCAAAAGAUUGGUUGGUUUGGGUUUUUUUUUUUUAAAUAAAAAAGGGAAUUGCUGCGUUUAUACCCA